rnacentral:rRNA from 1 species
UACGUAGGGGGCAAGCGUUGUCCGGAUUUAUUGGGCGUAAAGAGCGUGUAGGCGGCUUGGUAGGUCUCGCGUCAAAACCUGAGGCUCAACCUCAGUUCGCGUGGGAAACCACCUAGCUAGAGUCCGGAAGAGGAGAACGGAAUUCCCAGUGUAGCGGUGAAAUGCGCAGAUAUUGGGAGGAACACCAGCGGCGAAGGCGGCGCUCUGGGCUGGAACUGACGCUGAGGAGCGAAAGCGUGGGGAGCAAACAGG